UACGUAGGUGGCAAGCGUUAUCCGGAAUUAUUGGGCGUAAAGAGCGCGCAGGUGGUUGAUUAAGUCUGAUGUGAAAGCCCACGGCUUAACCGUGGAGGGUCAUUGGAAACUGGUCGACUUGAGUGCAGAAGAGGGAAGUGGAAUUCCAUGUGUAGCGGUGAAAUGCAUAGAGAUAUGGAGGAACACCAGUGGCGAAGGCGGCUUCCUGGUCUGUAACUGACACUGAGGCGCGAAAGCGUGGGGAGCAAACAGGAUUAGAUACCCGGGUA
rnacentral:rRNA from 1 species